GGAGGAGAGUGGCUCAGCUCUUGUGGGGUCAGGAGGCAAAGGGAGGAAGGGGUGGCAGGGAAGAUGCACCCUCCAGGGCACACCCCAGCCACCCCCUGCUCCACGGCCACCUGCCUACAUUACCACCCAGUCGUCCAUUCAGACUGGGAGGGACCGAGUAGGUCACAGUCCCGUCACUUCAUCUUAGUGACUUUCUCCACAUCUUCACCAACGUGAGGACUGCUCCGUAUAUUUUAUUAUUAGCCAUUCUAACAGAAAGCGCAGGCGCAGGUUUUUAGAUUUCUUAUUGGGUUCAACAGGGAUGAAAUGACUCUACCAAUUGCCACAUCGGUUUAAAACACUCUCAUCUUCAGUGCGGGACUCGAUGCAGAUUAACAAUAAACACUUCUCAGAUGGCUCCAGUCAGUGGGCUAGACUUAGGUGGCAUUUCCUGGGUAAUGUCCAUCCCUGUGGGGGACGAGGAGUGGGCAGUAGAGCCCUGGCUCUCUGGCACCUAUAGGUACUCACCAUUCUGUCAGCACAGCACACUAUGGAGUGGAUGCUGUCACUGUUUCCAGCUCACAGAGGGAGAAGAAGAGGCACAGAGGAGGUUAGGGUGCUUGCCCAGCACCAGCAGGGAGGCACAAGAGUGGAACAGUCACCCUCGCAAAGAGCCAAGGAGAGUGCUGGGCAGUGCUUCUGGAAGCAUCUGCAUUGUGCGGGAAUCCUGGCCUCUGGAUCAUUCACAUCACUCCUGUCCCUCCAAAAGUGGCUUUAGCCUGUUUUUUGUUAUUAUUGUUUUAUUCUCUGAGAUCCUCAUUGAUUGUUCACACCUGGGAGAAAGAUGGAAGGCUCCCUGGUUCUGGCUUGAGUGACCUCCGAGUGGAAAGGUACCCUCUGCCAGCACAGGACACGCAGCCAGGGGCCUGGUGUGGACGGAGUGGCAUCCGUCUGGUCUUGGGCCUGUGGUUAAGUUACACAGGAUUCCGUGUGGGAGCAGCACUGAUGGGCAGAUGGGCCACAAGUGCACUGGGCUAGAGGUUCAGUUGAGGCACAUCAUGGUGGGUUAGUGGGGUGCCUCAUGGGGGUUAUUGGUUACAGACAGAUUAGUAAUUCAUUUGCAUUUUAAAACUAAGUGAAAGAUUGGAGCACCCUGAGUCUGCCCGUGACUGGGGAGCAGGAAGGGACUUGAGCCAGUACCAAGGUGAGCAAUGGCGAGGAAGGAGUGGAGAGGGCAAGAAGGAUGGGAAGUGGUAUCCAGAACAAUCCAGCUUGAGUUAAAGGAGAGAAGGAAGACACAGGAAGGUGGGACCGAGGACAGCUUACCACACAGGUUCCUCUGGAAGGGCAGACGGUG
rnacentral:lncRNA from 1 species